AAUUUUGGACAAUGGGGGCAACCCUGACCCAGCCAUCCCGCGUGUGCGAUGAAGGCCUUCGGGUUGUAAAGCACUUUUGGCAGGGAAGAAAAGGCCUAGGAUAAUACCCUGGGCUCAUGACGGUACCUGCAGAAUAAGCACCGUCUAAUUACGUUCCCGCCGCCGCGGGAAUACGUAGGGUGCAAGCGUUAAUCGGAAUUACUGGGAGUAAAGCGUGCGCAGGCGGUUCGGAAAGAAAGGUGUGAAAUCCCAGGGCUUAACCGUGGAACUGCACUUUUAACUACCGGGCUAGAGUACGUCAGAGGGGGGUAGAAUUCCACGUGUAGCAGUGAAAUGCGUAGAGAUGUGGAGGAACACCGAUGGCGAAGGCAGCCCCCUGGGAUGAUACUGACGCUCAUGCACGAAAGCGUGGGGAGCAAACAGG
rnacentral:rRNA from 1 species